GUAGGUGGCAAGCGUUGUCCGGAAUUAUUGGGCGUAAAGCGCGCGCAGGCGGUUCUUUAAGUCUGAUGUGAAAGCCCACGGCUCAACCGUGGAGGGUCAUUGGAAACUGGAGAACUUGAGUACAGAAGAGGAAAGCGGAAUUCCACGUGUAGCGGUGAAAUGCGUAGAGAUGUGGAGGAACACCAGUGGCGAAGGCGGCUUUCUGGUCUGUAACUGACGCUGAGGCGCGAAAGCGUGGAGAGCAAACAGGAUUAGAUACCCUGGUAGUCCACGCCGUAAACGAUGAGUGCUAAGUGUUAGGGGGUUUCCGCCCCUUAGUGCUGCAGCUAACGCAUUAAGCACUCCGCCUGGGAGUACGGCCGCAAGGCUG
rnacentral:rRNA from 1 species